AAUGCCGAUGAACCAAAUUUCCCCCGCCGCCUCAAUAGAACGUGAUAUCCAAACCCGAUGCAUCCAAAUUUGAUGCGAAGGGGCAGGGAAAAGAGACAACACUGUAAGUCUCUAAGAAUUUAGUUUCCAAAUUGUAGUAUAUGUCUUAACUCUUUUGAUUUGCAUGAUAACCCUCACAGUGUAUAUACUUUGCAUUCUCUCUAAUUAUUGUUGUAGUUAUAAUCUAUUAAUCUGAUACUUUUAUUGUAGUUUAAUUUCGGGUGAUUGUUUUCGACAAAAGAUUUCGAAUCUAUUUUUUCGUCUUUUUAUUUUAUUUUUUUAAUUUUUAUAG